AUUGAACGCUGGCGGAAUGCUUUACACAUGCAAGUCGAGCGGCAGCACGGACUUCGGUCUGGUGGCGGGUGGCGAACGGGUGAGUAAUACAUCGGAACGUGCCCAGUCGUGGGGGAUAACGUAGUGAAAAUUACGCUAAUACCGCAUACGAUCUAUGGAUGAAAGCGGGGGAUCGCAAGACCUCGCGCGAUUGGGGCGGCCGAUAUCAGAUUAGGUAGUUGGUGAGGUAAAGGCUCACCAAGCCAACGAUCUGUAGCUGGUCUGAGAGGACGACCAGCCACACUGGAACUGAGACACGGUCCAGACUCCUACGGGAGGCAGCAGUGGGGAAUUUUGGACAAUGGACGCAAGUCUGAUCCAGCCAUUCCGCGUGCAGGACGAAGGCCUUCGGGUUGUAAACUGCUUUUGUACAGAACGAAAAGGUUUCUAUUAAUACUAGGGGCUCAUGACGGUACUGUAAGAAUAAGCACCGGCUAACUACGUGCCAGCCGCCGCGGUAA
rnacentral:rRNA from 1 species